UGGGGCGUAGCUCAAUUGGCAGAGUGACGGACUCUGACUCCGUAGGUUGAAGGUUCGACCCCUUCCGCCCCAGCCA
rnacentral:tRNA from 1 species